CAGAAACAUUCCACUGAGGUGAUUUCUAAAGUCUAAGUAAAGGGAACUAUAAUGAAACCAGAGAUCAAAUUUUGAAAGGCAAAUGGCAAAGAAAGAAGAAAGAUCAUUGCCAUUAGACAGAAAGAAAAGUUGUGUCAACAAGGGCCCAGAGAAAUGUGCCUGGGAUGGAGAAUUGUGAGAGUUCAUGAACAGCACUGCCCAACAAUUUAUUGGAAGAGCAGCCGGCAACCACAAAGCAAUUGUAUCUCCGCAAAAUAAAAAAGGAUUUCAUUACAACUUGGGGCUGGUGAUACCUAAGGAUAAGAGGCAGAAACAGAGUAAGGAAGCUGACCUAAAGUUAAAAUGGACAGUGGAAUCAAAACAGCCCUGGAAAAGGAGUCUGAGGAUCCUUCAGUCACUAACAAGUGUGCAUCUUGAACAACUCACUUGAUCUUUCUUCGACUUCAUUUCCUCACAUGCAAAAUGAAGAGGCUUGUCUACAUCUAGUUUUGAAUUUCCUAUGGUGACUACAAGAUUCCCACUUCUGCAUGUCCUUCAGUGUUCUUAAAUACCACCAUUCUCGUCUUUCCUCUGUAGUUGUUCAUCAUUGACAAAAGGAGAUUUGGGGUUUAAUUAGCUACAUCUCCCUAAGGUACCCUUUUUUCAGAAAUUUCCAUCUGUAAGCAUACGAGUAAUACUCAAUGAAAAAAUAAUUUUUCUGUUUCAGUAAAUUUUAAAAAUGAAAAGAAUGGGGUAUUUGCAACUCUCAAAAGAAUUUCAGAUACCAGAUGAAGUCCCCAUGACAUGAGGUCUUCAAAGACGGCCAAAGUUUGGGAAGACUUUGAAAGAGCUGAGGAGAACAAUCAGUGAUUCAAUUAAGACUCCAGAGGAAUUCAUAUCAGAACCAUAUAGGUGAGGUCCUAAUUUAUGGUAAAAUCUCUUAACCUAUACUUCAAGUAAAUGGUUUAAAAGAAUAUAGAGAGAUUAAAAAUCCAAAUACUGAGAGCCUACUGGGUAGAAAGCACUGUCCAAGAAGCUGAAAGAAAGAUGAACACAGUGUGGACCAUGCCAGCGGGAGAUGACUGCUUUGUAAAAAACAGAAAACAAAAAACUCCAGCCCUUGAGCUGCUUGCACACCAUAGACACCUUGAGGCAAUUAGAGACUACAGCUGAUGCAGGCAAAACAAACUCAAUCAAAUCAGCUCACUAAAAGGACUAAAUCGGAUAGUCUGAGUGGAAAACUAUCAACUCAGUCCGGACUAAAAUCAGACAAUUUAGUCAGGGUGUGAAAGCAAACUACUGUUCCAUUAAUUUAACAGACAUAUCACUUUGAACCAGGUAUUUGGCUGACACUAAGCUUCAGCUAGAAAGCAGGAUCUGGCUCGUUUCAAUGUAUUUGUUCUAAAAUAAUAAGAGAAAGACCAGACAGAUGGGAAAACAAAAAUAAAAGCAAAUGACCAAGAUGAAUAUAGAAAUCAUAUCAAAUAUAAAGUAAAAGAAAGAGGAGGAAAGGAAAAUGAGAGGAUUGAAUUAGAUGAUUUCUAAAUGUCCUUUUCCCGUUCUAAAAGAAAAAAUCCCUUGACUACAUAUUAAAGAUCAGAAAUUUGAGAAAAUGAGUUAAGAUCAUCCAAACACCCCAAAUAACUCCAGGAUUAUACAUGGAAUAAUGUAUUUCAAAGGACAUUUAUUGAAAGUCCUAUUAAAUUAUUUCCAUUAAAAAAUUGUAAGAACUUGAGUGCCAGGUUUGAAGAUGAGUAAGACACAUUUAACAGUUACAUGAAGAACACAUGCUUACUUCUACAAACUGACAUCCUUUCCUGUGAUCACUUAGGUUACUGGCACUAAAAAUAUUCCAAGCAGAAGGGUAUUUUUCAGCCAGUUACAUAAUUGUAACAUACUUUGUUACUUUCUUUGAAAAAUAGAUUAAAUUACAUCAGAUCCAUAUACUUGACCCAAGAUUUCCAAUUUCUUUUGUAUGACAUCUUGGGGGUGGGGGACAGGGAUGAAAUGAUCUAAGAAAUAAAACUGAAGCAGACCAUGUUUGCACCAUAAUAAAGCUUCCAAGUUUAAAGCUGAAUUAUCUCUAAAUAUUCUUCCUUAUGUGUCACCCUUAUAUUUUACCCUAGACAGCAUCACUCAGCUCUAGAAGUUUCUAUAGUAAUUUAGAAAGAUUGGAAAUGCUUCAUCUCCUGGAUGCUAAAAUAGUAUUUUCCAUGGGUUUAUUAUGAGGCAAAGCCAGUGGGUAAAACUGCAAGAUAAUUUUAAAUUAAACUAAAACCUGAUCUAGGUGAAUUAUAUUCAUCAAUGCUAACUUGAAUUUUUUAUGGC
rnacentral:lncRNA from 1 species